GAUGUUGGACAUCAAUCUAUUUCGUGAGGAGAAGGGCGGCAACCCUGAGAAAAUCAGGGAGUCUCAGCGCCGUCGUUUCACCGAUGUUCAUAUUGUUGAUGAGGUGAUUGAGCUCGACAGGGCUUGGAGGCAGCGCCAAUUUGAGUUGGAUGGUUUGAGGACCUCCAGGAACAAGAUAAGCAAAGAGAUUUCUCGCCUAAAAAUUGCUGGAGAAGAUACAAAAGGUUUGGUUGAAAGUACAGAUAAAAACAAUGAAUUGACUGUGCAAAAGGAGGCCGAGGUGCAGGAGGCUCUAACAGCAUUGCAAUCUAGAUUAGGAAACAUUGGAAACCUAGUGCAUGAUU